rnacentral:rRNA from 1 species
CCUACGGGUGGCAGCAGUGGGGAAUAUUGGACAAUGGGGGGAACCCUGAUCCAGCCAUGCCGCGUGUGUGAAGAAGGCCCUGGGGUUGUAAAGCACUUUCAGUGAGGAAGAACGCCUGGUGGUUAAUACCCAUCAGGAAAGACAUCACUCACAGAAGAAGCACCGGCUAACUCCGUGCCAGCAGCCGCGGUAAUACGGAGGGUGCGAGCGUUAAUCGGAAUUACUGGGCGUAAAGCGCGCGUAGGUGGCUUGAUAAGCCGGUUGUGAAAGCCCCGGGCUCAACCUGGGAACGGCAUCCGGAACUGUCAAGCUAGAGUGCAGGAGAGGAAGGUAGAAUUCCCGGUGUAGCGGUGAAAUGCGUAGAGAUCGGGAGGAAUACCAGUGGCGAAGGCGGCCUUCUGGACUGACACUGACACUGAGGUGCGAAAGCGUGGGUAGCAAACAGGAUUAGAUACCCCGGUAGUC